UGCUGGUAUCGUCUCGUAGGGAUGCCGUGGAGGAGGGGGGCACGAUUGUGUGUGGUGUCUGUUGGCGAGCACGGGCCUGUGUGUGCUGUCUUGAAUGUUGUUCCGUGCACACCAUUUCCAUGGUGCUGGCAGCUGGGAGGGUUCGUUGUCGUUAAUAGCAUUAUAUUUGGUUUUUCUUUUUUCUGUUUCGGGCGCUUCAUGAGUUGUGAUACCUGUGGUGUCCCUUGGCGGCUUUGUCAUGUGUGCCUGAUCCCAUUUGAUGUCAAUGUUUUUCUCAUGGGCUGUGGCUGCCGGUGCCGUGACUGACUUU
rnacentral:lncRNA from 1 species